ensembl:lncRNA
CUUGGAGAAGCUUUUUUUUUUUUUUUUUUUUUUUUUUUUUUUUUUCCUAAACCUAGAAUCUUCUGAUAGGGUGAAGGAAGAGUGGAGGAAGGUGAGGUCAGAGGAAAAGGUAGGUCUCACCUAAGCUUGGGAUAGACUUCAGGAAAACUGCAUGCCAGUUCUUAAUGCAGUCUUCAAGAGUAAACUCCUGGUAAACCUCCUCCACGUUCAGAUGGAGCCAGUUGAAUCCAGAGGACUGCUGUUUGAACAGUGUCCCUCCAGGAGCAAGCAGAAAAGUAUUGAACCCAAAAGAGGAUAAGUGGGAAAGCUGAGAGACGAAUUUGCUUUCAGGAACACAAAAACCCUAAUUAAACUUUGCAACUAAGGGACAUCUAUGGUAUAAAAUAAUCAAAAGAAGGGACUGAAGUUCCUGGAAGAUAACAAGAAAAUUAAAUUUCAACAGAACGGUAUAUGCUGGAGUGGACAAGCUGAUUUCAGGUCAGGCAGAUAUCUAGUGAGAUCAAAAAAAUGGUAGUGUGUUUGGAAGUUAGGUGUGAG